rnacentral:rRNA from 1 species
GACAGAGGGUGCAAACGUUGUUCGGAAUUACUGGGCAUAAAGCGCACGUAGGUGGUCCGCUAAGUCGCGUGUGAAAUCCCCCGGCUCAACCGGGGAAAUGCGCGUGAUACUGGCGGGCUUGAGAUCGGGAGGGGUGAAUGGAACUCCAGGUGGAGCGGUGAAAUGCGUAGAUAUCUGGAGGAACACCGGUGGCGAAAGCGGUUCACUGGCCCGACACUGACACUGAGGUGCGAAAGCUAGGGUAGCAAACGGGG